AUUGAUGUUAAACCGUAUCCAUGAAUUGUGUUUAUUGGUCACUGUCCCUUUAAGGGCCUGAGCAGUUCUGUUUUGACGUGCUACGUACAAACAAUAUGCAAAAAUCAACAAAACACCUUCAUUGGAUGUCAAUACAGCUGCCAUAUCAUCACCAUGACAACAGCAGGUGCCAAUCACUUCCGGUAUGAGUCCUUCGAAGAACAGACGGCAGAGAGUGACG